rnacentral:rRNA from 1 species
AGAGUUAGCCGUCUCUUCCUCUUGAGGUACUAUCAACCUUGCACGCUUCUCACGCACAAGGCUUGCUCCCUCAUGACAGCGGUUUACAAUCCGAAGACCUUCUUCCCGCACGCGGCGUCGCACCAUCAGGGUUUCCCCCAUUGUGAAUGAUUCUCGACUGCUGCCACCCGUAGGUGUCUGGACCGUGUCUCAGUUCCAGUGUGGCCGAUCAGCCUCUCAGCUCGGCUACCCAUCGUCGACUUGGUGGGCCGUUACCCCGCCAACUAUCUAAUGGGACGCGAACCCCUCCUAAAGCGGAUUGCUCCUUUGACCUCAUCCUGAUGUCAGGUCGUGGUCUUAUGCGGUAUUAGCAACCGUUUCCGGUUGUUAUCCCCCUCUUUAGGGCAGGUUGUUCACGCGUUACUCACCCGUUCGCCACUAAAGUAUCAACCGAAAUCAAUACUUCCGUUCGACUUGCAUGUGUUAGGCACGCCGCCAGCGUUCGUCCUGAGCCAGAAUCAAACUACUGA